CAGCCGCCGCGGGAAUACGGAGGGGGCUAGCGUUGUUCGGAAUUACUGGGCGUAAAGCGCACGUAGGCGGCUUGGUAAGUUAGAGGUGAAAGCCUGGAGCUCAACUCCAGAAUUGCCUUUAAGACUGCCGAGCUAGCAGGUGAGAGAGGUAAGUGGAAUUCCGAGUGUAGAGGUGAAAUUCGUAGAUAUUCGGAAGAACACCAGUGGCGAAGGCGGCUUACUGGCUCAUACUGGACGCUGAGGUGCGAAAGCGUGGGGAGCAAACAGGAUUAGAUACCCCAGUAGUCCCUGUCUCUUAUAU
rnacentral:rRNA from 1 species